rnacentral:lncRNA from 1 species
GUGAAGCAGCAACUAGCAGCAGUGAUGUCUUUUAUGGCGCAGCAGACUGGGUGUCCUCCACCAGUCCCUUCCCAACAACCUCUAGAAGAAAAUGUUGAUGCAGCUGAGAGAAACUAGCUAGGUACAUCACUGCGUUCUUCACUAUUUUGGUUUUGUUUAGAUGGAGAAGCCUUUGGUUAGGUUGUUGUGUAGUUGGUUUUGUUUAGAUGGAGAAACCUUUGGUUAGGUUGUUGUGCAGUUGGUUUUGUUUAGAUGGAGAAGCCUUUAAGGUUUAUGCAGUUGGUUUUGUUCAGUUGGAGAAUGAUAGGAUAGGCUAGCUAAGCUAGGAUGAAUGAAUGGUUUUGUUUAGUUGCAAUUCAAGGUGUUACUAAAGAGUAAAGACUUUGUAUGAACAAAUUAUGCAUAUAUGAAAAUUUAUUGUUUGCUAAAUUUGCACUUUUAUAGUUUCUGUAGAUGAUGAUGAUGAUAGUGAAACAGGGAGGAUAAGGAAAAAGCAAAUAAAACUGGCCUCAGUGAACAGACUUAUGCGACGAAAACGUAUAUUUUCGUCGCAUAAGUGAACCAUCCUUUCGUCGGCAAUUGCACCCAUGUUUCGUCGGGAUAGAAUUACUAACGACGAAAAUCAUUUCGUCGGAACACUUAUGCGACGAGAUUCGUCGUAUAAGUGGACACCAGUGUCGUCGCUUCUUUUCUGUGCGACAAUGAUUUCUUCGUCUCAUUAUAUAGAGUGUAGCGACGAAUAUGUUUUUUUCGUCUCAUAGAUUCUUAUGCGACACCACUUAUGCGACGACUCUUAUGCUACCGACUUGUCGUGUCAUAGGUAUAUAUGCGACGAAAAUUGACUCUUAUGCUUCGAAAUUGUUUCGUCUCUUAAGUCGGCCAUCCUACUAGUGCAUACAGAUAGAGAGAAAAAGAAAGAGAAAGGAGAGGAAGGAAUGAAGAAGGGUGAGUUAGCAGGUGUGAUUCACGAAUUUAGGUUAAGCUUUUUCCAGCCCUCAGAUCAGUUUAAUUUAAAUCCAAAGGUCAUGAGUGACCUAUCCCUCUCUAUCCCGUAAAAAGACUCCCACAGGUGAACGGGCCUGCCCUUUACCAUAGUAGAACUAAGUUAUUAAGACCUCUUGCAGACCUCUUGCAGCCACUUGCAAACUGAUUUUGUUGCUACAGUAUCAACAACUUGGCUUAUUUUUUAGAUUUUUCUGAAAGCACAUUUUCAAAUUGAGUGCGACUAUUGAGACUUCCAAAUUUGCUUAAUAUAUAUCUCAUUCUCUCUACACCUCAUUUUUACUUUUUAAUAUAAACAUUUUCUCACUAGACCUCAUUUCAAAUUCCUAACAUAAUCUUAGUUAUUUAUUGAUAUAUAUUUCAAUUAAAUACUUACUUUACCUCUUAUUCACUCAAUAGAUCUCUCAUUCUUUGUUUUUUUUUCUUUUCCCUUUUUGUUUUUGAACAACCAUUAUCCCUACCUUUAUUUGUUGAUUAUUUUUUUCAUGCAAGAAAAUGUUUUAUUAUGAACUAUUCUAUAUAUCUUUUUAACUUUUGUUUUUCUCUUUUGUACGUGUUAUUUUUUCUCUGUUUUUUUAUUUUGAAUAAUUUGAUCUCUAUUUUAUACUUUAUAAUAAAUUAUUUUAAUAAAUAUAUAUUUUCUAUAAUCAAUUUUUUAUUAUAAGGUAUAAAAGAGAAAUUUUAUUCACACAUUCUCGUAUGUUUAAUACACAUCACAUAUUUUUGUAUAAUUUUAAAUUCCUUCUAUACCCUUUCCCAUUUCAAAAUAACAUUAGAAACGAAAACAAAAGUUUUCUCCCUCUUCAUUCACCAACACCAACAAACCUAACUCAUCAAAAUCUCAACUUGUUUAUUCUUAUCCAUUCGCAUAAAUCAUAACUCAAGAAAAUCUAUUUAGCUUCUUUUGACAUAUCAAAAUUACGUCGAUUGAAAAUUCAUCUUGAAUUAGACCGAAGAAUAGGAUCUUCUCAACAACUAUGAAUUAAUUUAAUGAGCCCAAAAACUUAUUUUAAUCUUUUUCUCAACGCAUGCUCACUAUCUCUUCUUCAUGAUCAAUUUAUAAGAUCACAAACCAACUCAUGUUUGUAUUUUUUUUUUUUUUUUUUU